AAAGAAUAACACAUACACAGCUUUCUUCAUAUACCCAACAUUCAAUAAUCAUCUGGUUUUUGUCUUUUUUUAGUGUAUUAUCUGACCACAAGUGUUUUAUGUGACCACAAAGCCAUCUGGUUGGUUUCCUUGCCUGGAGUCUCUGCUUACUAAAAGCCAUCCUCCAUUCUGCUUCCUAGAUGGCUUUUCCAAAGUCGGGGAGGGCUUGAUCAUGUGACCUCCCUGCUCAAUGACAGUCCAGUGACUUCCUAGCAUCUUCAGGAGUCAGUCUACUCUUCCCAGAGGCUAGUCAUGGAAAGUUCCUGGGCCAAGCACACAGAUAAUCAGUGCUCUUGUGAGAAGGUUCAGCUUCAAGAAUCAGACACGAAAGAUCCCCACUGACCGACAGUACGCCUGGGCCUGGGCAGGGAGGGAGCUAAUCCAUAAGGGUCUAGGUUUUGGCUGGAAGCAGAAAGGGUUCUGAGUGGAGGCGGCAUGGGGCAGCUUUACUGGGAUUCCAUCAAGUUGACUCUAAAU